AUGGUUUCGUGGAGUGAUGACGGAUCCAACUCCUCCUCGUCUGGUGGCGACUCCGCCAGCAGUCCGGCUCCUCGCACCAUUGACUGCUCCGAUUGGAGCAGCCUUGCAGUAGAUCUACCUGUUAGAUGUGAGCACCAAGCAAUGUGUGAGAAGUUGGUUGCCUUUGAGUCUGUUGACAGUGGAGGAAGAUUCGUGGGUUGUGCACAAAAGGAUGGGCCUAAAUGCCCCUAUGUGCAUUGGGUUGAGCUAGAGCGGCCUCCUCAAUUGAAGAUGAGUCUAGCUAGGGUCUUGGACAUGUAUGAAGAGGUGGUCAACCUCAGGCUCAGGCAAAAUGUUGUUAAUGCUGAAGAAAACUUUAAGAUAUUGGGAGAGAAGAAAAAGAUGGAGCAAGAUCUGAGGUUUUUUAAACUAGAUUUUGCUAAGAUGGUGGCUGACAAGGAGCAGGCAAUUACUGAAUCGGGCAACACAAGGCUAGCUCUCUCUGACCUAAAGAUAGAACUCGAGAAGAAGAAAAUGUUUGAUAAAUCUCUGACCAACAUUCAUCAGGUGGUAAGGGCUAAAGCAGAGAAAGAGAGGGAUGAGAUGAAGCAAGAGAGGGACAAAAUGAUGGAAGAGAGGGACAAAUUGAAGGAAGAAAGGGAUCAGUUGAAGAAAGAGAUAAAGAAGCUAGAGUACAUGAUUGGUGACUUGUUCAAGCAUAAGGAAGACACCAAGUGCAAGAUAAGGAAGGACAGGGAGAUGCUAGAUGAAUGUGAGUGA
rnacentral:rRNA from 1 species